AACGAACGCUGGCGGCAUGCCUAACACAUGCAAGUCGAGCGAAACGUUCGGGCCUUGUGGCGCACGUCUGCGUACCGCGUGGGAACUUGCACUUAGGUUAGGUAUACCUCACCGAAGGGGGUCCUCAUACAGCAUAGUGUCUUCGCACCAAAGAUGUCUCGCCUUUGGAUGGGCGCGCGUUGGAUUCGCUGGUUGGUAGGGUAAAAGCCUACCAAGGGGACGAUGCAGAGCUGGUCGGAGAGGAUGACCAGCCACGCUGGGACUGAGACACGGCCCAGAACGCGACGCGGGGCAGCAGUAGGGAAUAUUGGACGAGGAGCGAAAGCCUGACCCAGCAAUGCGGCGUGAGUGAUGAAUGCCUUAGGGUUGUAAAGUUCUUUUACCCGAGAUGUGAAUGACAGUACCGGGUAAAGAAGCACCGGCUAACUACGUG
rnacentral:rRNA from 1 species